rnacentral:rRNA from 1 species
GUAGGGAAUAUUGCACAAUGGAGGAAACUCUGAUGCAGCGACGCCGCGUGAGUGAUGAAGGCCUUCGGGUCGUAAAACUCUGUGAUAAGGGAAGAUGAUGACGGUACCUUAUCAGAAAAGACCGGCUAACUUCGUGCCAGCAGCCGCGGUAAUACGAGGGGUCUAAGCGUUGUUCGGAAUCACUGGGCGUAAAGCGGGUGUAGGUGGCUAUGCAAGUUGGAUGUGAAAGCCCCGGGCUCAACCCGGGAAGUGCAUCCAAAACUACGUAGCUUGAGUGCGGGAGAGAAAGGCAGAAUUCCUGGUGUAGUGGUGAAAUACGUAGAUAUCAGGAGGAACUCCGGUGGCGAAGGCGGCCUUUUGGCCCAGCACUGACACUCAGACCCGAAAGCGUGGGUAGCAAACAGGAUUAGAAACCCUGGUAGUCC